CAGCCGCCACGGUAAUACGUAGGGUGCGAGCGUUAAUCGGAAUUACUGGGCGUAAAGCGUGCGCAGGCGGUUCGGAAAGAGAGAUGUGAAAUCCCAGGGCUUAACCUUGGAACUGCAUUUUUAACUACCGGACUAGAGUGUGUCAGAGGGAGGUGGAAUUCCGCGUGUAGCAGUGAAAUGCGUAGAGAUGCGGAGGAACACCGAUGGCGAAGGCAGCCUCCUGGGAUAACACUGACGCUCAUGCACGAAAGCGUGGGGAGCAAACAGGAUUAGAUACCCCUGUAGUCCCUGUCUCUUAUAA
rnacentral:rRNA from 1 species